rnacentral:rRNA from 1 species
GACAGAGGCCUCAAGCGUUAGGCGGAAUCACUGGGCUUAAAGCGUGUGUAGGCGGAUCGUUAAGUGCCUUGUGAAAUCCCACGGCUUAACUGUGGAACGGCUGGGCAUACUGGCGGUCUUGAGCCAUCUAGGGGCGACUGGAACAAACGGUGGAGCGGUGAAAUGCGUAGAUAUCGUGAGGAAGACCAGUGGCGAAGGCGGGUCUCUGGACAGUUCCUGACACUGAGGCACGAAGGCCAGGGGAGCAAACGGG